AUGAUGAUAGCGGAAUAAAACUUUACAAAAAUACGGUAUUUGAAAAAUAUGUAAAUGACGUAUAAUGAAAUCUCGAUUAUCACUUUAUUGUGCGAGAGUAUAAAAUGUUCGGUGACACCCGAACUUAGCCCUUCCUUACUUGUUUUUAAUAUUUUCGUCGUUUUUUUUCUGAGUUUGGGAUAAAAAAUAUUAAUUUCCAAUUUUUAAUUUCGACUUUCGGAUUAAAAAAAAAUUUCAUUCUCGAAUUCC